rnacentral:rRNA from 1 species
CCUACGGGAGGCAGCAGUGAGGAAUAUUGGACAAUGGGCGCAAGCCUGAUCCAGCCAUGCCGCGUGCAGGAAGACGGUCCUAUGGAUUGUAAACUGCUUUUAUACAGGAAGAAACACUCGGACGUGUCCGAACUUGACGGUACUGUAUGAAUAAGCAUCGGCUAACUCCGUGCCAGCAGCCGCGGUAAUACGGAGGAUGCAAGCGUUAUCCGGAAUCAUUGGGUUUAAAGGGUCCGUAGGCGGUCAUAUAAGUCAGUGGUGAAAGCCCAUCGCUCAACGAUGGAACGGCCAUUGAUACUGUUUGACUUGAAUUAUUAGGAAGUAACUAGAAUAUGUAGUGUAGCGGUGAAAUGCUUAGAGAUUACAUGGAAUACCAAUUGCGAAGGCAGGUUACUACUAAUAUAUUGACGCUGAUGGACGAAAGCGUGGGGAGCGAACAGGAUUAGAUACCCUGGUAGUCCACGCCGUAAACGAUGGAUACUAGCUGUUCGGAGCAAUCUGAGUGGCUAAGCGAAAGUGAUAAGUAUCCCACCUGGGGAGUACGUUCGCAAGAUGAAACUUAAAGGAAUUGACGGUNUGAGACGAGCGAGGACGACGACGAGGGAGGUAGG